GAUGAACGCUGGCGGCGUGCCUAAUACAUGCAAGUCGAGCGAACGGACGAGAAGCUUGCUUCUCUUAUGUUAGCGGCGGACGGGUGAGUAACACGUGGAUAACCUACCUAUAAGACUGGGAUAACUUCGGGAAACCGGAGCUAAUACCGGAUGAUAUUUUGAACCGCAUGGUUCAAAAGUGAAAGACGGUCUUGCUGUCACUUAUAGAUGGAUCCGCGCUGCAUUAGCUAGUUGGUAAGGUAACGGCUUACCAAGGCAACGAUGCAUAGCCGACGUGAGAGGUUGAUCGGCCACAUUGGAACUGAGACACGGUCCAGACUCCUACGGGAGGCAGCAGUAGGGAAUCUUCCGCAAUGGGCGAAAGCCUGACGGAGCAACGCCGCGUGAGUGAUGAAGGUCUUCGGAUCGUAAAACUCUGUUAUUAGGGAAGAACAUAUGUGUAAGUAACUGUGCACAUCUUGACGGUACCUAACCAGAAAGCCACGGCUAACUACGUG
rnacentral:rRNA from 1 species